rnacentral:rRNA from 1 species
AUCUCCCUACGGGGGGCAGCAGCCGCGGUAAUACGUAGGUGGCGAGCGUUAUCCGGAAUGAUUGGGCGUAAAGGGUGCGUAGGCGGCCUGCUAAGUCUGGAGUGAAAGGUACCGGCUCAACCGGUACAGGCUCUGGAAACUGGCGGGCUAGAGAGCAGGAGAGGGCGGUGGAACUCCAUGCGUAGCGGUAAAAUGCGUAGAUAUAUGGAAGAACACCAGUGGCGAAGGCGGCCGCCUGGCCUGUUACUGACGCUGAGGCACGAAAGCGGGGGGAGCAAAUAGGAUUAGAACCCUGGUAGUCCGCA